GGCGAGAUAGCCAAGUGGUCUACGGCGCACGGUUCAGGUUUCAUACCUUCCGUGUCUCUUCGGGGGCGCGAGUUCGAAUCUCGCUCUCGUCA